rnacentral:rRNA from 1 species
UGGGGAAUCUUGCGCAAUGGGCGAAAGCCUGACGCAGCAACGCCGCGUGCGGGAUGAAGGCCCUCGGGUUGUAAACCGCUUUCAGCAGGGACGAAAAUGACGGUACCUGCAGAAGAAGCCCCGGCUAACUACGUGCCAGCAGCCGCGGUAAUACGUAGGGGGCAAGCGUUGUCCGGAUUUAUUGGGCGUAAAGAGCUCGUAGGCGGUUCUGUAAGUCGAGUGUGAAAAAUCUGGGCUCAACCCAGUGGAGCACUCGAUACUGCAGUGACUCGAGUCCGGUAGGGGAGUGUGGAAUUCCUGGUGUAGCGGUGAAAUGCGCAGAUAUCAGGAGGAACACCAACGGCGAAGGCAGCACUCUGGGCCGGUACUGACGCUGAGGAGCGAAAGCAUGGGUAGCGAACA